AUGCGCAGUCAGCCUCGGCGGCUACCUGUGUGCCUCAGGUGUCUGUAGAGGUUUAGAGGAAUGAAGUCUCCAGCAAGCAGUUGGCCUUCUGCAUAUCUGCAAGAGUUGUAUGGGAUUACAUCUGGUCAUGUUUGGAACUGAGGGAAUAGGGGCCCUACCCUGGUGACCACAACCUACCUGGAGUGGAGCUGCUGUCAACUGAGCAAGCAGGACCUGUGAAGAGAGAGAAGGCACAGUCCUUGCAAAGAGGAAAGGAACUGUGACACGUUUCAUGAAAGAAGUUGCUCCCAUAGGCUUCUCUCUCUGAGGCUGGGAUGAGACAACAGAAGCAAGUUUCUUUUUUGGUGCUUGGUCAGUUGUCACUUUUGGGGGCCAGCACUGAUCUGCAAUGCCAGCAUCUCAUCUGGGCUCCAGUUCAAGUCCCAACUGCUCCACUUCCAAACUAGCUCUCUGCUAUGGCCUGGGAAAGCAGUAGAAGAUGGCCCAAGUCCUUGGACCCCUGCACCCAUGUGGGAGACCCAGAGGAAGCUCCUGGCUCCUGGCUUCAGAUCCGUGCAUCUCUGGCCAUUGCGGCCAACUGGGGAGUGAACCAAUGGAUAGAAGACCUCUCUCUCUCUCUCUCUGCCUCUCCUUCUCUGUGUAAC